GGGGACAACGUUUCGAACGGGACGCUAAGACCGCAUACGUCCUACGGGAGAAAGCAAGGGGUCUGUAUGACCUUGCGCUAAUAUAUGAGCCUAACUCAGAUUAGCUAGUUGGUGGGGUAAAGGCCUAGCUCCGGAACGAUCUGUAGCGGGUCUGAUUGGAUGAUCCGCCACACUGGGACUGACACACGGCCCAGACUCCUACGGGAGGCAGCAGUGGGGAAUAUUGGACAAUGGGGGGAACCCUGAUCCAUCCAUGCCGCGUGUGUGAAUAAUGCAUUUUUGUUGUAAAGCACUUUAAGCGAGGAGGAGGCUCUUUAUGUUAAUACCCUGAAUGAGUGGACGUUACUCUCAGAAUAAGCACCGGCUAAUUCUGUGCCAGCAGCCGCGGGUAAUACAGAGGGGGGCGAGCGUUUAUUCGGCUUUUACUGGGGCGUAAAGCGUGGCGUAGGCGGCCCGAUUUA
rnacentral:rRNA from 1 species